AUGCAGGUAAAGUUACAAUGUAGCUGUGAAGUGCUGUAUUGUCGUUCCCCCUGCACAUAGAAAAAUUGUCUCUUUUCUAUCCUUGUCUGUUUAAUUCCAUGGCAGACGAGGACGCUUGGUUUCAUACAU
rnacentral:snoRNA from 1 species